rnacentral:tRNA from 1 species
GUUUCCAUAGCUCAAUGGUAGAGCGAAAUACUGUUAAUAUUUUAAUAAAGGUUCGAUUCCUUUUGGGGACG